UACGUAGGGUGCAAGCGUUAAUCGGAAUUACUGGGCGUAAAGCGUGCGCAGGCGGCUUUGCAAGACAGAUGUGAAAUCCCCGGGCUUAACCUGGGAACUGCAUUUGUGACUGCAUGGCUGGAGUGCGGCAGAGGGGGAUGGAAUUCCACGUGUAGCAGUGAAAUGCGUAGAGAUGUGGAGGAACACCGAUGGCGAAGGCAGCCCCCUGGGCCAAUACUGACGCUCAUGCACGAAAGCGUGGGGAGCAAACAGG
rnacentral:rRNA from 1 species